UACGGAGGGGGCUAGCGUUGUUCGGAAUUACUGGGCGUAAAGCGCACGUAGGCGGCUUUGUAAGUUAGAGGUGAAAGCCCGGAGCUUAACUCCGGAACUGCCUUUAAGACUGCAUCGCUUGAAUCAUGGAGAGGUUAGUGGAAUUCCGAGUGUAGAGGUGAAAUUCGUAGAUAUUCGGAAGAACACCAGUGGCGAAGGCGACUAACUGGACAUGUAUUGA
rnacentral:rRNA from 1 species